rnacentral:ncRNA from 2 species
AAUUAUAAAAACAUAGAUACUCAUAUAAGCCUCUAAUAUGGUGAGGUGUUUCUACCUAUAGCCCUAAACUAUAGUCUAUGAGUUGGAAUUGGAAGACU